AGCGAACGCUGGCGGCAUGCCUAACACAUGCAAGUCUGACGGGCGGGGUCUUUCGGGGCUCUGUCAGUGGCGGACGGGUGAGGAGCGCGUAGGAACGUAUCCAGGGGUGGGGGACAACCGCGGGAAACUGCGGCUAAGACCGCAUGCGGCCUGAGGGCCAAAGCCGGGGGCAACUUCGGCGCCUAUGGAGCGGCCUGCGUCCGAUUAGCUGGUUGGUGGGGUAACGGCCUACCAAGGCGGUGAUCGGUAGCUGGUCUGAGAGGAUGAUCAGCCACAC
rnacentral:rRNA from 1 species